rnacentral:lncRNA from 1 species
UAGAAUCCUAUGAAAAUAACUGCCAUCAGGGGAGUUAGGAGAAGACCCGGGGGAAGGAAACAUCUCCAGGACCCAGCUCUGACUGCCUGUGGACCUUUCUACUUGUUUCUGUGCAAAACCCAGUUAGUUCCUGAAGAUCUAUGUAAUCUGCUACUACUCUGAAGAAGAAAUCUCAAUCAAGACUAUGAACUCCAUGAAGGCAGGACCCAUAUUUUAUCUGAGCUCUGUAUCCCCCACAAUGUCCAUCAAUGUUCUGUGCGAAUCCAUGAACAGAGAUAAAGUGAAAACUUCAGAUGCACCAAGAAAAUGGAACCCAAGAGAAAUGGCAAGAUGCAUCAUGUUUGGAAUUCUCAAAUAUGCCUCUAGGCUGAUGGGAGAGAGAGUCUCAGAAAAAUUGUCAUAAUGGGAAGUAUCUGAAUCACUUUGCCAUCAUAGAUAUUCAUUUCAGGUAAACUGACCCAUCUCCUCUAUAUAUUUCGGGGAAAGUACUAAGCACAGGUACAAUAUACAACAUAAUCAAAGAAGUAAAUAGACACAUAACAAUUCUCCUAAUCCUCCUUUGAAAGGAAAAGUGUUCUAUUGCCUUCAUGUUAUUGAUUUUGGACAAUGAUCACACAUAAUCCUUUGGCUAAGUAACUGCAAUUAUAAGUUUUAGAAAGUGUCAGACCCAGUUAGUAAACUGUGUAUAAUAUGCCAAUUAUAAUAAUAAAAUAUUAACCAUAGCACA